rnacentral:rRNA from 1 species
ACCUGGUUGAUUCUGCCAGUAGUCAUAUGCUUGUCUCAAAGAUAAGCCAUGCAUGUCU